UGCCAGCAGCCGCGGUAAUACGGAGGGUGCGAGCGUUAAUCGGAAUCACUGGGCGUAAAGCGUACGUAGGUGGCAAAGUCAGUCAGGCGUGAAAGCCCUCGGCUCAACCGAGGAAUUGCGUUUGAUACUACUUUGCUAGAGUCUCGGAGAGGUUGGCGGAAUUCCAGGUGUAGGAGUGAAAUCCGUAGAUAUUCGGAGGAACACCAGUGGCGAAGGCGGCUUUCUGGACCGAUACUGACGCUGAGGUACGAAAGCGUGGGUAGCAAACAGGAUUAGAUA
rnacentral:rRNA from 1 species